CACCAAAGAUGCGCACACAUGGCACGCAGCUUUCUAUGAAAACACUGCGACCUCACUACAAAAGUACAGGCACACAGAAAACUGUGCUGCACUGAUGUCGGUGUUGGGACCUCAGCUGUAAGAGACCUCGCUUGGAGGAGGGAGAGGACAACCCAAGUUGUUCAAGUAUGGACUUCGGAGAGCCACAGGAUGCUACCUAUGAUCCUGAUGACUCGAUCACAGUCUUGACUGAGUCAGCAGAUGUGACAUUACGUGGAUAACCUGUUGGACCUCAUCUUUCACAAGGUUUUUCAGGACCCGGCCCCAUAUGUGAAUGAGGUGCUGAAGAUCUCAAAACCGGAGGAUCUCUCUGCCAAGUAUGAGAAACCUGACA